ACUCAAGUAUAGAGUACAGUCAGUAGGGCAUGAGACUCUUAAUCUCAGGGAUGUGGGUUCGAGUCAUACAUUGGGCA